rnacentral:rRNA from 1 species
UGUGCCUUCGGGAACUGUGAGACAGGUGCUGCAUGGCUGUCGUCAGCUCGUGUUGUGAAAUGUUGGGUUAAGUCCCGCAACGAGCGCAACCCUUAUCCUUUGUUGCCAGCGGUCCGGCCGGGAACUCAAAGGAGACUGCCAGUGAUAAACUGGAGGAAGGUGGGGAUGACGUCAAGUCAUCAUGGCCCUUACGACCAGGGCUACACACGUGCUACAAUGGCGCAUACAAAGAGAAGCGACCUCGCGAGAGCAAGCGGACCUCAUAAAGUGCGUCGUAGUCCGGAUUGGAGUCUGCAACUCGACUCCAUGAAGUCGGAAUCGCUAGUAAUCGUGGAUCAGAAUGCCACGGUGAAUACGUUCCCGGGCCUUGUACACACCGCCCGUCACACCAUGGGAGUGGGUUGCAAAAGAAGUAGGUAGCUUAACCUUCGGGAGGGCGCUUACCACUUUGUGAUUCAUGACUGGGGUGAAGUCGUAACAAGGUAACCGUAGGGGAACCUGC